rnacentral:misc_RNA from 1 species
GAUGAAGACCGCAGCGAAAUGCGAUAAGUAAUGUGAAUUGCAGAAUUCCGUGAAUCAUCGAAUCUUUGAACGCACAUUGCGCCCCCUGGCAUUCCGGGGGGCAUGCCUGUCCGAGCGUCAUUUCUGCCCUCAAGCACGGCUUGUGUGUUGGGUGUGGUCCCCCCGGGGACCUGCCCGAAAGGCAGCGGCGACGUCCGUCUGGUCCUCGAGCGUAUGGGGCUCUGUCACUCGCUCGGGAAGGACCUGCGGGGGUUGGUCACCACUAUAUUUUACCACGGUUGACCUCGGAUCAGGUAGGAGUUACCCGCUGAACUUAAGCAUAUCAAUAAGCGGAGGA